rnacentral:rRNA from 1 species
UGCAAGUCGCACGAGAAAGGGACUUCGGUACUGAGUACAGUGGCGCACGGGUGAGUAACACGUGACUCAUCUACCUUCGAGUGGGGAAUAACUGAGAGAAAUCUUAGCUAAUACCGCAUAAUACCUACGGGUCAAAGCAGCAAUGCGCUUGAAGAGGAGUUCGCGGCAGAUUAGUUAGUUGGCAGGGUAAUGGCCUACCAAGACGAUGAUCUGUAUCCGGCCUGAGAGGGCGCACGGACACACUGGAACUGAAACACGGUCCAGACUCCUACGGGAGGCAGCAGUGGGGAAUUUUGCGCAAUGGGGGAAACCCUGACGCAGCAACGCCGCGUGGAGGAUGAAAUCCCUUGGGAUGUAAACUCCUUUCGAUAGGGAAGAUAAUGACGGUACCUAUAGAAGAAGCCCCGGCUAACUUCGUGCCAGCAGCCGCGGUAAUACGAGGGGUGCAAGCGUUGUUCGGAAUUAUUGGGCGUAAAGGGUGCGUAGGCGGUUUGACAAGUCUUAUGUGAAAUCUUCGGGCUCAACCCGAAGUCUGCAUGGGAAACUGUCGGGCUUGAGUAUGGGAGAGGUGAGUGGAAUUUCCGGUGUAGCGGUGAAAUGCGUAGAUAUCGGAAGGAACACCUGUGGCGAAAGCGGCUCACUGGACCAUAACUGACGCUGAUGCACGAAAGCUAGGGGAGCAAACAGGAUUAGAUACCCUGGUAGUCCUAGCCCUAAACGAUGAUUGUUUGAUGUGGGGGAGUACCCACCUCCUCGGUGACGAAGCUAACGCGUAAACUAAUCCGCCUGGGGAGUACGGUCGCAAGGUUGAAACUCAAGGAAUUGACGGGGGCCCGCCCAAGCGGUGGAUCAUGUGGUUUAAUUCGACGCAACGCGAAAAACCUUACCUGGGCUUGAAAUGUGCAGGAAUCCGGUAGAAUUGUUUGGCCUCGCAAGAGAUCUGUAUAUAGGUGCUGCAUGGCUG